UGGGGAAUUUUGGACAAUGGGCGAAAGCCUGAUCCAGCAAUGCCGCGUGUGUGAAGAAGGCCUUCGGGUUGUAAAGCACUUUUGUCCGGAAAGAAAUCCUUGGCUCUAAUACAGUCGGGGGAUGACGGUACCGGAAGAAUAAGCACCGGCUAACUACGUGCCAGCAGCCGCGGUAAUACGUAGGGUGCAAGCGUUAAUCGGAAUUACUGGGCGUAAAGCGUGCGCAGGCGGUUUGCUAAGACCGAUGUGAAAUCCCCGGGCUCAACCUGGGAACUGCAUUGGUGACUGGCAGGCUAGAGUAUGGCAGAGGGGGGUAGAAUUCCACGUGUAGCAGUGAAAUGCGUAGAGAUGUGGAGGAAUACCGAUGGCGAAGGCAGCCCCCUGGGCCAAUACUGACGCUCAUGCACGAAAGCGUGGGGAGCAAAACAGGAUUAGAUACCCUGGUAGUCCACGCCCUAAACGAUGUCAACUAGUUGUUGGGGAUUCAUUCCUUAGUAACGUAGCUAACGCGUGAAGUUGACCGCCUGGGGAGUACGGUCGCAAGAUUAAAACUCAAAUGAAUUGACGGGAUCAUAGCUG
rnacentral:rRNA from 1 species